rnacentral:rRNA from 1 species
AGCGAACGCUGGCGGCAGGCUUAACACAUGCAAGUCGAGCGGGCCCUUCGGGGUCAGCGGCAGACGGGUGAGUAACACGUGGGAACGUACCCUUUGGUUCGGAAUAACGCUGGGAAACUAGCGCUAAUACCGGAUACGCCCUUUUGGGGAAAGGCUUGCUGCCGAAGGAUCGGCCCGCGUCUGAUUAGCUAGUUGGUGGGGUAAUGGCCUACCAAGGCGACGAUCAGUAGCUGGUCUGAGAGGAUGAUCAGCCACACUGGGACUGAGACCCGGCCCAGACUCCUACGGGAGGCAGCAGUGGGGAAUAUUGGACAAUGGGCGCAAGCCUGAUCCAGCCAUGCCGCGUGAGUGAUGAAGGCCUUAGGGUUGUAAAGCUCUUUUGUCCGGGACGAUAAUGACGGUACCGGAAGAAUAAGCCCCGGCUAACUUCGUG